rnacentral:misc_RNA from 1 species
AAGUGUGGAAGAAAACAAUCAGUGGAAGUGAUAGAAGUUGCCAGCCUCGCAGAACUCUAUUUAUGAACAAAGGUGUACACUAAGUUCUCCCUUUCUUCUCUCUGCAUUUUUGGCGUUGAGUUGAGUCUAACUGGGCUCUUUCAGAAAUAUUGUAUGUUGUGGACAACAAAGCAAGCAAAUGUUAGUUUUAGUUCAUUGGUCCAAGGUACAGUGAUCUAUAGGCUCAAUUAUCUUCUGUUUUCUCCCUUGUUGAAUGAUGACAUAGCAAUUACCUUUCUAUCAUCUGCCAGAUCAACUUCUAGUGCAUUACUUGCUUAGUUCAUUCACAUGUGCUUUAAAGGCGCAAAGCUGCAAAGGUACAUGUUCAGAGAACCCUAGCAGUAGUGAUGUAACUGAAUGGCGCCACCAUAGAUUCUGCUAUUGUACUGUGAUUUUUCCUCUAUAGUUUUUCCCCCGCCUAAUUCAAUGACAUUAUUACUUUUCCGUUUGUGUUGUAGCCUUGUAGCCCUUUGGAAUGGCAG